rnacentral:rRNA from 1 species
AUUGAACGCUGGCGGCAGGCCUAACACAUGCAAGUCGAGCGGAGUGGCGGACGGGUGAGUAAUGCCUAGGAAUCUGCCUGGUAGUGGGGGAUAACGUCCGGAAACGGGCGCUAAUACCGCCUACUAUCAGAUUAGCCUAGGUCGGAUGAGCUAGUUGGUGGGGUAACAGCCUACCAAGGCGACGCUCCGUAACUGGUCUUAGAGGAUGAUCAGUCACACUGGAACUGAGACACGGUCCAGACUCUUACGGGAGGAAGCAGUGGGGAAUAUUGGACAAGGGGCGAAAGCCGGAGCCAGACAUGCCGCGUGUGGGAAGAAGGUCUUCGGAUUGGAAAGCACUUUAAGUUGGGAGGCGUGACCAACAGAAUAAGCACCGGCUAACUUCGUGCCAGCAGCCGCGGUAAUAC